rnacentral:rRNA from 1 species
UACGUAGGGCGCAAGCGUUAUCCGGAAUUAUUGGGCGUAAAGAGCUCGUAGGCGGUUUGUCGCGUCUGCCGUGAAAGUCCGGGGCUCAACUCCGGAUCUGCGGUGGGUACGGGCAGACUAGAGUGAUGUAGGGGAGACUGGAAUUCCUGGUGUAGCGGUGAAAUGCGCAGAUAUCAGGAAGAACACCCGUGGCUAAGGCGGCUCUCUGGGCCUUACCUGACGCUGAGGAGCGAAAGCGUGGGGAGCGAACAGG